rnacentral:rRNA from 1 species
GAUCAUGGCUCAGGACGAACGCUGGCGGCAUGCCUAACACAUGCAAGUCGAACGGAACUUGUUGAAUGAAGUUUUCGGAUGGAUUUUGAUAAGUUUAGUGGCGGACGGGUGAGUAACGCGUGAGCAACCUGCCUUUCAGAGGGGGACAACAGUUGGAAACGACUGCUAAUACCGCAUAACGUAUCGAAGAGGCAUCUCUUUGAUACCAAAGAUUAUAUCGCUGAAAGAUGGGCUCGCGUACGAUUAGAUAGUUGGUGAGGUAACGGCUCACCAAGUCGACGAUCGUUAGCCGGACUGAGAGGUUGAACGGCCACAUUGGGACUGAGACACGGCCCAGACUCCUACGGGAGGCAGCAGUGAGGAAUAUUGGGCAAUGGGCGCAAGCCUGACCCAGCAAUGCCGCGUGAAGGAAGACGGUUUUCGGAUUGUAAACUUCUUUUAAGAGGGACGAUAAUGACGGUACCUCUUGAAUAAGCCACGGCUAACUACGUG